rnacentral:rRNA from 1 species
CGGCGUGCCUAAUACAUGCAAGUCGAACGCAUUUGUGGUUGAAAUGAUAUGAAGAACUUGUUCAGAUUUGAUUUUCAACAUUGCAAUGAGUGGCGAACGGGUGAGUAACACGUGGGAAACCUACCUCUUAGCAGGGGAUAACAUUUGGAAACAAAUGCUAAUACCGUAUAAUAAUUAAAACCGCAUGGUUUUAGUUUAAAGAUGGUCUUGCUAUCACUAAGAGAUGGUCCCGCGGUGUAUUAGUUAGUUGGUGAGGUAAUGGCUCACCAAGACAAUGAUACAUAGCCGAGUUGAGAGACUGACCGGCCACAAUGGGACUGAGACACGGCCCAUACUCCUACGGGAGGCAGCAGUAGGGAAUCUUCCACAAUGGACGAAAGUCUGAUGGAGCAACGCCGCGUGUGUGAUGAAGGGUUUCGGCUCGUAAAACACUGUUGUAAGAGAAGAAUGACAUUGAGAGUAACUGUUCAAUGUGUGACGGUAUCUUACCAGAAAGGAACGGCUAAAUACGUG